AACGAACGCUGGCGGCAUGCCUAACACAUGCAAGUCGAACGAUCCCUUCGGGGAUAGUGGCGCACGGGUGCGUAACGCGUGGGAACCUGCCCUUAGGUUCGGAAUAACUCAGAGAAAUUUGAGCUAAUACCGGAUAAUGUCUUCGGACCAAAGAUUUAUCGCCUUUGGAUGGGCCCGCGUUGGAUUAGCUAGUUGGUGGGGUAAAGGCCUACCAAGGCGACGAUCCAUAGCUGGUCUGAGAGGAUGAUCAGCCACACUGGGACUGAGACACGGCCCAGACUCCUACGGGAGGCAGCAGUGGGGAAUAUUGGACAAUGGGCGAAAGCCUGAUCCAGCAAUGCCGCGUGAGGGAUGAAGGCCUUAGGGUUGUAAAGCUCUUUUACCCGGGAUGAUAAUGACAGUACCGGGAGAAUAAGCCCCGGCUAACUCCG
rnacentral:rRNA from 1 species